GAGCAGGGAGUCAAACGCUACAGGGGAGCUCAAAUGAUCUUGCAAGGUGGUGAAGUAACAUACUGAGAAAUGCAAACUCGGUGACAACUGCUGGAAUGUGGUUCAGCACCUGCCUCCAGGCGUGGAGGAGUGGAAAACCUGCUCUGGGAAAUGCUUUGUACCUAGCUAAGGGUUCCCACACAGCCCUCCCUGGGACACUGAGGUGUGGCAGGAGGGAGAGACGUGGCAAUGUCGACUGUGGCUUCUACUGUGCAUGGCAGGUAUGGAAACAGAGACAGUGGCAUUCACCAGCUGCUGAUCACUAAAUCAUGCUGCAAGACCUAUGCCUGGGCUGUUCACACCAGCAGCGAUGAAACAGAACAAUUGCAAAAGGGACUCGGUCGCAUGAAGAGAAGAAUUACUGCAAGGAUUUUUACGUGGAGAAAAAUGAAGCUGUUUUGUCACAUGGAGAACCCGGCUGGGCAGAGCGGGAGCUGGGAGUUAGUGGCUCUGAAGGCAGGACCUGUGCUGCAGCUGGCUCUGGUUUGAGGCUUGCAGCUGGGAUUUCAGUGUUGAAGUUUCACAACCAAAACUUCUGCUUUCCUGACCAGCUUCUAGUGGUGCCAUGGCUUGCUGGGGCUGUGGGCUCAGGAGUUCAUGUGCAAACUCACUUGUGAGCCUGGUUUUACCCAGCAUGUGUUUGCACCCUCUGGGACUGGGUUUCCAGAUUUUCCCUCAAAACUUGCAUCCUCUUCCACAAAUGCACCAGCCGCUUUCUCCAGCAGAUCCAUUGAAAUGUCCAUGAAAUGUCCAUAAAAUGCUCAGGAAACAUCUGCAUUUACUUGGAGGUCCUGUAGAAAUGCCCAACUAUGGCAGCAGGAGUGAGGGUUGCCAGGACAGCCCCAGCUUUGAAUUCUCAUGCUUUGGUGGUUUUCUCCCUCAACCUUACAUAUAUCUGUAUUUCGAUGAUAAUUACUAUUCAUUUCUAGUGCUGCCUUCUACUGCUUUUUCUCUUGAUGGACUCCCAGGGGAAAUUAAAUAGCCCAUUGUUGCUUUCUCCAGUGCCCAGAAACAGCAUGUGGUGUAUACUUACAAACCUGGCUGGCCAGAUGUGGGAAAAUAGUCUGAAAUGGGCCUUUUGAGUUUUUAUGGAAAGAAUCCACCAAAAAAACACUCGUUGAAUCACCUGUCCCGUUACUGGAGAUGAGCUGUACCCUCUGGUGCAAGAAGUGAUGCUGGCAGAGGGUAGAGACAGGCAGAGAAGACCAGGUGAUAGCAGAGAGGUGUCCAUGAGGGGUGACAGUAAAAGCUGGAGUAGCAGCAGUGGAAAACAGAGGUGUCAGGGUCAAACAAGCCAGAAUCCACCCAGAUCAGUGAAGGAUUUGCUGUGGUAUCUCCAGGGCAGCCCAGGACUGCUCUGCAGCUGCUCUGUGUUUAAUCUCAUUCUCUUUUCUGCUUUUUCCUUGCCAGCAGGGACUGUGCUUUGUUCUGCCAUUGCACUCUUUUUAAAGGGUAACACAGGGUGAGGCAAAUUCCUGAUGUAUACUUCAAUUUGUGCCCCUUUGCUGCUGUAUAUAUAUUAUUUUAAAACUAUAGCCAGCGGAAGCAAUUUAUUUGUUUAGUGGUGUCCGGGAAACAUACCCAAGGGAGAUCUCUGAACACAACCACAAAGCCGAUAAGGAUUAAUGGUAGAUGAUAGAACAUCGGAUAAGGCUAUUCCCACAUUUGGGUCGAUAUCUACUAUUAGGAGCAUGAACAUCAAGUAAAUGAAUAUCAGGUUAUUAAUAUGUUAUUAUAUUUAGUGACAGUCAGUAUUUACUUCUCCUCUAAAGACUGCUGAGGACCACAUUAGCAUCCUUGUAUGCUCUGGCAGUUGGGAGAUCAGCCGGCCCUAUCUCAGUGGCUGUGAGUUUAGCACAACCAUCACAUCCGAGCUUUAAAAGGGCACUAUGUGACCUAUAUGUUUUAUUCUUAGACAAAGCUAACAGUAUCUGACUUAGUCUCCAUUGCUAGCAGAGAAUGCAUUACUAGUGGGGAUAAAUCUCUUUCCUUCUACAGGUGUUGAUAUCUGCUGUGGAGGAUAAUAGGCACCAGUAGUCAUUUGUAAAAGCAGCUCCAAGACCUAGUGUUGAUAUUGUUGUGUCUUAUCCAGCAGCUCCAGGUCCCUGCCAUGCCCUGGGUGAGAAUUAACAAAGCACCUCCUUUGCUGACACCUGCACUUUCAUUCUUGCCUCCCUUGAUUUCCUGCAUUAAUUUUAAAAAAGUAAUAACAAUCUUCCCAGAAAUAUUUAACAGGUGCAGAAGCCCAGCUGUGUCCUGCACGUGGUGCACCUGUGUGUGUGCGUAAGUCCAAGCCAGGAAACCCCUUCUCCCCAUGGAACAGCUGCCUCCAGGUGACUGCUCCCAAAUGCUGCAGCCCAGCAGGAUUUCUUCCUUCAUCCCCAGGUUUCCUUUGCUGUUCUCAGCUCUGCCCUGCUCCCCCAGCACCACAGCCUGCCUGGCACCCACUGUGUGGGCUCUCCAGGGCCACCACUGCCUCUUUGCUUCCCCUGCAAUGCCCUGCUAAGCAAGAGGCUGGACAUCCCGAGUACCGACCACCACAGCAAUGGAACCAAACCAUAUCCAGCAGUAACUUUAGGGUGGAAACAGGGGUUGACUGGGAAAGUCUAGUUAUCUCUUUGCCACUUUGAGUCACACUAUGGGGCUGAGGGGGCUGAAACUGCCCUGGGAAUUCUUAAGGCUGUGCUAAAAGGAGCCUGAUUUAUUAUGCUCACUUUAUAGAGGAGUGAAAACCUCGCUGGCAGUGAGCAAUAAACAAUCUGUGGGGAUGCAGAAAGCAGCAAUGUUAAAGGAUGUAAAAUUGAAGAUAUUUCUUAAUGACUCAGUUAUUUGAGGAAGCAGAAGCAUGGAGCACUUCAUGCACUGCAGCAUGGCAAUGCCAGGCUCUAGAUGAGCAACCUUGCUGGAGCAGCAUCUGCACCAUCAUGGGACAGUGAGAAACACCCUGCCCUACAGAACCCACUGAAAGCCAAGAGGAGACCUAUAGAUACCAGAAUACAAAGCCAAAGAAGGGAACAAUGAGCCUGUGUUCUUUGUGUGAGAGACAAAAUUAUGAGCGUGUUGUUUAUCCCACUAUUUUAUGGACUGCUAGGCUGAAAACCAGCACACCUGGCCCUCAGUGGCAGUGGGAACAAACCUGAGUGGUUUCCUGCACCAAAUCCCAAGGGAUGAGGAACAUCUGUGUGCUCCAGACUAUGGCCAACAUCCCACAGAAAUGGUUUUCUCGUUUCAGGGAAGUGUUCAAUAUUUUAGACUUUUCUGUCCCUCAUCAGCCAGAAGUUCAAAAUGAGGGAGAAACAGAAACCUUAGACAUUUUAUUUUAAACAGAGCUCCAUAAAUCAUGCAGCCUAAUAAGCAAAAUGGGUUAAUUUAAGGUCUUUGUUUAUAUGUUUGUUUUAAAUUUACAGCAUUUACUGACUUUAAAUAAAAUCCUUGUAGUUGCUUCUAUACAACAUCUUUCCUUCCCUUGGUUUAAUUUUAGAUGUGUACAGCUCAAUGUUAAAUACGCAUUAUUAAGUAAUGGAAAUGUCAUAGUCCUAGAUUAAACUCCUCUAGUGGAAUUAAAUUAAAGGUUUCUGCUCCUA